rnacentral:rRNA from 1 species
CCUACGGGAGGCAGCAGUGGGGAAUAUUGCACAAUGGGGGGAACCCUGAUGCAGCAAUGCCGCGUGGGUGCAGAAGUACUCCGGUAUGUAAAGCCCUGUCAGCAGGGAAGAAAAUGACGGUACCUGACUAAGAAGCCCCGGCUAACUACGUGCCAGCAGCCGCGGUAAUACGUAGGGGGCGCGCGUUAUCCGGAUUUACUGGGUGUAACGGGAUCGCAGGCGACGUGGCAAGUCAGAUGUGCAACCCCGUGGCCCAACCCCGGGCCUGCAUUUCAAACUGCCCUGCUGG